GUACGCUCUCGUUGGCUGGCCCUCGCUUCACACUCGUCGCCAAACCCACUGGCUUCAGGUCAUCUUCAAGUCUCUGAUAGUCGAGCUCGUUGAUCAGUUUCCCGGGGCAAGCAGAAUCGCCGAUGACUCCUGCGGACAGGUCACCCGUCCUUACGAGAUUGUCCCGGACUUGUCUCCUCUCACAUCAACCAUUAAUGGACCGAAUUCAGGAGUUUGAAACCAUCCUCUGCUACCAAGUUUUGUUGAUGAUCAGUUACUUGAGAAGGAGACCAAGUCAAAACGCUGGACCAGGUGGAUUCAGUUUAUAGUAAGGCAGUUUAUUAAGAGACAAAGAUAUUUGCCAAAGCGUGCACGGACUCGUUCGUUUAGCUCAUAGGGAACUAGCGGAAGAGAGCCCCGAAACAUCGUGUGCGUUUAAUUUAUACAAUGAAAUAACAGUGUGUUGACGUAGGUUGAGUCUAGUGGGUCCGCUCUCCUGACUGGUCGAUGAGUGGAGGGACGGUCCAUUCUCCGGGUGGUGUCGACUUCCCAUUGGCCCUUGGCAGUGUCCUUUGUCCUCGGAGUCCAACACCCCUAAGUGUGUGUGUGUGUGUGUGUGUGUGUGUCUGCUAAGUCGUGUCUGGGUGGUUGCGAUAGUCAUGGGGUGUUGUUUUUUACCCCAGUGGUCAGUUCGUGUGGCUAGGGCGCUUCCUGUUUUGUCAUGUUAUGUGAGUGCUGUUUUGUCAUGUUAUGUGAGUGCUUAAGUCAGCCAUCUGUCUCUGAGUGUGCUCGUGAUUGGUAUCAGUUGGUUGCCCAAUAUGUCUCUGGAGCCCUGCUGUGCGCCGCUGCGAAGCAUGUCGUGCAAAUGCCCUCCUUAUACAUCACUAGGUAAAACGUUAGAUUAUCUUUAUUACACACGUGUAACUCUGUGUUGUUGUAUGUGUCGAACUGCUUUGCUUUAUUCUUGGCCAGGUCGCAGUUGUAAAUGAGAACUUGUUCUCAACUUGCCUACCUGGCUAAAUAAAGGUGAUAUAAAAAUGAAAAACAUGAAAGGAUACCCAGUGUUGCCAACUAAUUUUCAGGGUAAGUUGCUAGAGGCAGGUUGAUUUUGUCGUGUCUUUGAAAACCAUUAACUGAAGACAUGUUUAUCAAAAUAACUCCCUGUAAUUAUUAUCAUACGAUUAUAAUGAUUAAUCGUUUAACUGUAAUUAACUAGGAGAUCGGGGCACCAAGGAAAAUAUUCAGAUUACAAAGUUAUAAUUUUCCUAAUAUAACUUUCCUAUAUUAUAACAUUAUAUAUUAUAUUAUAGUAUAGGCCGAUUAUCUACUGGUUUAAAUGGUGUAUUUUACCUCGCGUCCAGUCUCAUUCCAAACGUCGUAAAUUGUUGUAUCUGCACGAACCCAGUCUUUACUAAAAGUCAUCCAUACAUCAAUUGUCUUAAAAUCAUUUAUUUACUAAACUAAGUAAUUCACAGAAAGCAUACAAACAGUAAUUAUCGUCAUAAAGAAUUGGUAGAGUAAUGUGACCUAGUGGGCUAAACCGACAUGGCUGGUGUCUUGUUAAAACAAGGGUCAUAAAGGGCAGCUGAG
rnacentral:lncRNA from 1 species